rnacentral:rRNA from 1 species
AAGGUUGGACCUGCCCAGUGAUUUGAAAUGAUUUAACGGCUGCAAUUCGUACUAAGGUAGCAUAAUAAUUUGCCCUUUAAUUGAGGGCUGGAAUGAAUGGUUUGACAGUAGAAAAGCUUUAUUUGAAACAUUAGUUGAAGUUUACUUUUAAGUGAAAAGGCUUAAGUUUUUGUAAAAGACGAGAAGACCCCAUCGAGCUUAAUUAAGAAGCUAGAGAUGUCUAGUUUUUGAAAUUUAAUUGGGGCAAUUAGAAACAAAAAAGAACGUUUGUUUUAAAUAAAGAUCCAGUAUGAUUGAAUUAAGCAAAAGCUACCGUGGGGAUAACAGAGUUAUUUUUUUUGAAAGUUCAUAUUUAAGAAAAAGUUUGCUACCUCGAUGUUGGAUUAGGGUUUCUUUAUGCUUGCAGCAGGUAUAAAAGUGGGACUGUUCGUCCUU